GGGGGAAAGAAUAGAAACAACCCUUGAGGAAGAAAAUUCAAGAGAAAUUCAUCGGUUAUCGAAAAACGAAGCGAUUUGAGGUAAGAUUUCGCGAUUUUAGCUUAAGAUUCACCUCUCUCAUGCUUUCUUUUUCAUUUUCUAUGGUUGAAACCCAAACUUUCAUGAAGGAAGUCAUGUUGGCCAAAUCAAGGGGGGGAAGUUUUGAUGAUGGUUUUUGUUAGAUUUCAUGCUAUCUAGG
rnacentral:lncRNA from 1 species